rnacentral:lncRNA from 1 species
AGGUUUCAAAUCUCCUGGGUGAGCAGGAGAGCAUUCCAAGUCUCCUGCACUGGCUGCUGGCAAGGUUAUAAAUACAGCUGGGAUCUGAAAAGCUACUUUUAAUUCUGAUUACUCUGGAGAAAACCCCAGGGAAAUUCAGCUUUAAGAAGUCAAAUUCCCAGUGUAGCAUCUUUACAGUCUUCUCAGUGUAAGGAUCAUAAGCUUUUCUUAAUGUACUUUGAGAUUAUUGGUCUAAUAUUUUGUCCUUUCUUUAACAUUUAAGUUAUACAUUAGGUCUUCUUACCUCUUCUGUCCAUGCUGACCUGUUAGCUCAAAGGAGAGCAGCUAUUUUCACGUCACACCUCCCCGCAGUGGUUGCUUGCUUGCUUUUCCUCCCGUUUCCCCCCACGUUUUGAGGCAGCUGUCAUCAGAGCCUCAUCCAUCACCUACCUCGAAUGUCCCCCAACCUCCCUGGGCCCUCAGAGCGCUUCCGUGCUCGGAUUUCCCCCGCAGCACCUCUCGACCCUGCCCGCGGCCACCGCCUGCUCCAACGGAGCUGUCCGAAAAAAAAAAGCAAAAAAAGCAAAAAAAAGUAAACUCAGACGCGGUCGGAUAGAAAAAGACAGGUUGAAGAGCAUCCCCAGCGGCGGGGCAGGGAGCCCGCGGGGCGUUCCUCGGCGGCGGCGCUCCGGCAAAGCGAAAGUGAAGGCCAAUGUGUUUUCCGAGAAGGAGGGGAGGAGCCGAGGGGAGCUCCGCGUUAAAUACAAAGCCGGGCCCGAUACGCCGCCACAGAGCGCUGGAGGUGCCGCUCGCCCGCCCGCCCCGCGGCAGCCCCGGCUCGCCGCGGCGCCAGGCAGGGCCCCCGCCGGAGGAUGCUCGGCCGGCCCCCGGGGCCAGGACCAGGACUAGCAGCGGGACGGGGACUGGCAGCGAGUGCUGCGCUCCGGGGACGGCCCCCACCCGCGGCACCCCGAGAGUAGCUGCUGGAAGGCCGCCCCGCCGUAGCCGUGACGCUAUGGAAGACCGCAU